AUUGAACGCUGGCGGCAUGCUUUACACAUGCAAGUCGAACGGUAACAGGGUGCUUGCACCGCUGACGAGUGGCGAACGGGUGAGUAAUGCGUCGGAACGUGCCGAGUAGUGGGGGAUAACGCAGCGAAAGUUGUGCUAAUACCGCAUACGUACUGAGGUAGAAAGUGGGGGACCUUCGGGCCUCACGCUAUUCGAGCGGCCGACGUCUGAUUAGCUAGUAGGUGAGGUAAAGGCUCACCUAGGCGACGAUCAGUAGUGGGUCAGAGAGGAGGGUCCGCCGCACUGGCACUGGGACACGGCCCAGAGUCAUACGGGAGGCAGCAGUGGGGAAUUGUAGACAAUGGGCGAAAUCCUGAUUCAGCCAUGCCGCGUGUCUGAAGAAGGCCUUCGGGUUGUAAAGGACUUUUGUCAGGGAGGAAAUCCCUAGUGCUAAUAACACUGGGGGAUGACAGUACCUGAAGAAUAAGCACCGGCUAACUACGUGCCAGCAGCCGCCGUAA
rnacentral:rRNA from 1 species